GAUGAAGAACGCAGCGAAAUGCGAUAAGUAAUGCGAAUUGCAGAAUUUCCGUGAGUCAUCGAAUCUUUGAACGCACAUUGCGCCCACUGGUAUUCCGGUGGGCAUGCCUGUUCGAGCGUCAUUAUCCUCCCUCAAACCUCGGGUUUGGUGUUGGACCCAAGUUGUGUGAACAACUGGUCUCAAAGACAAUGACGGCGUCCGUGGGACCCUCGGUGCAACGAGCUUUUAGGAGCACGCGUCGAGUUUCCAGGACCUUCCGGGCCGGUCUCCUUUACUAUUUUUACAAGGUUGACCUCGGAUCAGGUAGGAAUACCCGCUGAACUUAAGCAUAUCAAUAAGCGGAGGA
rnacentral:misc_RNA from 1 species